rnacentral:lncRNA from 1 species
ACACCAGAUGCCCAACGUUAGGGGGGUGGCUAUGCGGUCAUCUGAAAGACAGAGAAGGGGUUACAUGACUUCUUUAUUUCUGAAUGAAUUUAUUGGAUGACCAAGGAAGGUAUGGGCCAGGGUUCAACAUUUGCCUAGUUUGUGGUGCCUUUGAACAAUGGAGACGGCCCCAUCUCUUGGGAUUAUUAACUCUACUGUCCUCUGGUGAACUAAAUAGGGCUUCACCCAACACUAACAGUAUCUGUCUCCUUUAGGUUUUUGUGACACUGCUUUUUCAAGAAUCUCCUCUUGUAAUUUCAUGUGAACUGGAAUGACCUCCAGGAAUUGAUGCAGAGUGAGAGGAGCAGAACCAGGAGAACAUUGUACACAGAGACUGAGACACUGUGGCACAAUCGAAUGUAAUGAACUCCUACAUUAGUGGCAAUGCAGUGACCCAGAACAAUCCAGAGGAACUUGGGAGAAAGAAUGCUAUCCACAUCCAGAGGAAGAACUGUGGGAGCAGAAACACAGAAGAAAAAAUAUGUGAUCCAACAUGUAGUGCAAUAGGGAUGUGAUUAGUGUUUUGAUGUUAAAGGAUCGCUCUAUUGCAAAUAUCAAUAACAUGGAAAAUGUUGAACAAUGAUACAUGUAUAAUAUAGUGGAACUGGUUUUUUUUUUUGGCUUUGGGAGGGGGUAGGAGAGAGUGGGGGA